AUUGAACGCUGGCGGCAGGCUUAACACAUGCAAGUCGAGCGGGGGAAGGUAGCUUGCUACCGGACCUAGCGGCGGACGGGUGAGUAAUGCUUAGGAAUCUGCCUAUUAGUGGGGGACAACAUCUCGAAAGGGAUGCUAAUACCGCAUACGUCCUACGGGAGAAAGCAGGGGAUCUUCGGACCUUGCGCUAAUCGAUGAGCCUAAGUCGGAUUAGCUAGUUGGUGGGGUAAAGGCCUACCGAGGCGACGAUCUGUAACGGGUCUGCGAGGAUGAUCCGCCACACUGGGACUGAGACACGGCCCAGACUCCUACGGGAGGCAGCAGUGGGGAAUAUUGGACAAUGGGGGGAACCCUGAUCCAGCCAUGCCGCGUGUGUGAAGAAGGCCUUAUGGUUGUAAAGCACUUUAAGCGAGGAGGAGGCUACUUUAGUUAAUACCUAGAGAUAGUGGACGUUACUCGCAGAAUAAGCACCGGCUAACUCUGUGCCAGCCGCCGCCGUAA
rnacentral:rRNA from 1 species